CAGGAAAGUGCUUCCAACUUUCAAAUCAAGAGAACAUUUUAGCAUUUCCUAAGCUCUGUGUGCAUGCCUAAGCUGCCAUGAAUAGGAAUGAAUGUAAGUAGUUUCAUAAAGUAGAAACAUGGAAAAAAAUGGCAAUGGUGCAACUGUGGCUACACGUAGCUAAUUGCUGUGGGGUUUUUUUGCUAUUAGUAUAGAAAGAAAUACUGCCCUGCUGAUGUGUGAAAGUGUCGAUAUGUUGUGGGCUGGGCUUGACUUAUUCAGAUGCGUCUGGGAGACGACUGUGAUUACCAGGAGCUCUAACAUUACUGCAAGUUUGUUGUUCCUGUGUUUGGACAACAUUGAUAUGAAUGAACAGCAAAUGAUGGAUGGUUUUCAAACUUUGCUAUUUCCUGUCUCUCUGCAUUUGCCGUUGGUUACGCUUUUCAUUCUGAAUGUAAAGCUUCAAUAG
rnacentral:lncRNA from 1 species